rnacentral:rRNA from 1 species
UACGUAGGGUGCGAGCGUUAAUCGGAAUUACUGGGCGUAAAGUGUGCGCAGGCGGCCAAGCAAGUCGAGUGUGAAAGCCCCGGGCUUAACUUGGGGAUUGCGCUCGAAACUACUUUGCUGGAGUGUGGCAGAGGAAGGUGGAAUUCCACGUGUAGCGGUGAAAUGCGUAGAGAUGUGGAGGAACACCAAUGGCGAAGGCAGCCUUCUGGGCCAACACUGACGCUCAUGCACGAAAGCGUGGGGAGCAAACAGG